GACGAACGCUGGCGGCGUGCUUAACACAUGCAAGUCGAACGGAAAGGCCCUGCUUUUGUGGGGUUCUCGAGUGGCGAACGGGUGAGUAACACGUGAGUAACCUGCCCUUGACUUUGGGAUAACUUCAGGAAACUGGGGCUAAUACCGGAUAGGAGCUCCUGCUGCAUGGUGGGGGUUGGAAAGUUUCGGCGGUUGGGGAUGGACUCGCGGCUUAUCAGCUUGUUGGUGGGGUAGUUGCUUACCAAGGCUUUGACGGGUAGCCGGCCUGAGAGGGGGACCGGCCACAUUGGGACUGAGAUACGGCGCAGACUCCUACGCGAGGCAGCAGUGGGGAAUAUUGCACAAUGGGCGGAAGCCUGAUGCAGCAACGCCGCGUGCGGAAUGACGGCCUUCGGGUUGUAAACCGCUUUCGCCUGUGACGAAGCGUGAGUGACGGUAAUGGGUAAAGAAGCACCGGCUAACUACGUG
rnacentral:rRNA from 1 species